rnacentral:rRNA from 1 species
ACAACCCCCACACACAAGGUUGACCUCGGAUCAGGUAGGGAUACCCGCUGAACUUAAGCAUAUCAAUAAGCGGAGGAAAAGAAACCAACAGGGAUUGCCUCAGUAACGGCGAGUGAAGCGGCAACAGCUCAAAUUUGAAAGCUGGCUCCUUCGGGGCCCGCGUUGUAAUUUGUAGAGGAUGCUUCGGGCGCGGCACCGGUCUAAGUUCUCUGGAACGAGACGUCAUAGAGGGUGAGAAUCCCGUAUGUGACUGGCCGCCUGUGCCCAUGUGAAGCUCCUUCGACGAGUCGAGUUGUUUGGGAAUGCAGCUCAAAAUGGGAGGUGUACUCCUUCUAAAGCUAAAUAUUGGCCAGAGACCGAUAGCGCACAAGUAGAGUGAUCGAAAGAUGAAAAGCACUUUGGAAAGAGAGUUAAACAGUACGUGAAAUUGUUGAAAGGGAAGCGCUUGCAAUCAGACUUGCGCGGCGUCGAUCAGCCUGGGUUCUCCCUGGUGCACUCGGCGCCGCUCAGGCCAGCAUCAGUUUCGGCGGUGGGAUAAAGGCCUAGGGAACGUGGGUCCCCUCGGGGACCGUUAUAGCCCUAGGUGCAAUGCCGCCUGCCGGGACUGAGGACCGCGCU